CGAUGGGGGAGGGGGUCUGCUCCCUGGCCUGGCCCGCACCCCGCAGCGGCUCCAGGGCCGCGGGUGUGAGGGGCGGGCCCAGGUCUUGGCCCGCGCCGCCCCAUGUGACCCGGUCCGACAUGGUGUCGCCUCCUCCCGCGGCGGCGGUGGCGGCGGCUCGGCUGUGUUUCGGGCCGGGCCUGCGGCCGCUCAUGGGCAGCCAGGGCCACCCGGGGCCGCCCGGGAACAGCGGGCCGGGCGAGGGCGAGGGCGGGGAGGCGAGGAAACUGCAGGGAGGGAGGGUCGCGAGGGGGAAGCGAAGAAAGGGGAAGGGGAAGGGAAAAGCGGGAGCAGGACAGGGCGGAAGAGGAAGCGGGGCGGAAGGGAAGCCGGGGCUGCAGAAAGCGAAGGAGGCAGCGGCGCUGGGGGCCGAGGCGGGAGCCAGGGCAGGCCCAGGGGAGGAAGGAGAGGGAGGCGGAAGCGUGGAGGAAGGGGCGAGAAGGAUCGUGCUGGGCGAUGAGGGGAGCGCAGGGGCGGGGAAGGAGGCCAGAGGAAGAGGUGCUGGGAAAAAGGAGGAAUGGAGGGUCAGGCCUGGGCGGCGGGAGGACGCGAGGCCGGGGAGAGCGCAGGGACGAGGGGGUCAGGCGUGGGGCUGCAUCGCGGGGGCUGGGGCGGCGGGGGUGGCCAUGGCGGUAGCCGCCGAGGAGGCGGCGGCGGCGGCCCGGGAGCCGGCCGGCCGCCCCGCUGCGGGGCCGGCGCUCUUGCGCCUGCCGGAGGAGCUGCUGCUGCUCAUCUGCUCCUACCUGGACAUGCGGGCCCUCGGCCGCCUGGCGCAGGUGUGCCGCUGGCUGCGGCGCUUCACCAGCUGCGACCUGCUCUGGCGCCGGAUAGCCCGGGCCUCGCUCAACUCCGGCUUCACGCGGCUCGGCACCGACCUGAUGGCCAGUGUCCCGGUGAAGGAACGGGUGAAGGUGUCUCAGAACUGGAGGUUGGGGCGCUGCCGAGAGGGGAUCCUGCUGAAAUGGAGAUGCAGUCAGAUGCCCUGGAUGCAGCUAGAAGGUGAUUCUCUGUACAUAUCCCAGGCUAAUUUCAUCCUGGCCUAUCAGUUCCGCCCAGAUGGUGCCAGCUUGAACCGUCGGCCCCUGGGAGUCUUUGCUGGGCAUGAUGAGGACGUUUGCCACUUUGUGCUGGCCAACUCGCACAUUAUCAGUGCAGGAGGAGAUGGGAAGAUUGGCGUUCAUAAGAUUCAUAGCACCUUCACUGUCAAGUACUCGGCUCAUGAACAGGAGGUGAACUGUGUGGAUUGCAGAGGGGGCAUCAUUGUGAGUGGCUCUAGGGACAGGACGGCCAAGGUUUGGCCUUUGGCGUCAGGUCGGCUGGGGCAGUGCUUACAUACCAUCCAGACUGAAGACCGAGUCUGGUCCAUUGCAAUCAGCCCAGUACUAAGCUCUUUUGUGACAGGGACGGCUUGUUGUGGGCACUUCUCACCCCUGAGAAUCUGGGACCUCAACAGUGGGCAGCUAAUGAUGCACCUGGGCAGUGACUUCCCCCCAGGGGCUGGGGUGUUGGAUGUCAUGUAUGAGUCCCCGUCCACACUCUUGUCCUGUGGCUAUGACACCUACGUUCGCUACUGGGACCUCCGAGCCAGCGUCCGGAAGUGUGUCAUGGAGUGGGAGGAGCCCCACGACAGCACCCUGUACUGCCUGCAGACCGAUGGGAACCACCUGCUGGCUACUGGGUCCUCCUACUACGGGGUCGUGCGGCUGUGGGACCGGCGCCAGAGGGCCUGCCUCCACGCCUUCCCGCUGACCUCGACCCCGCUCAGCAGCCCUGUGUACUGCCUGCGCUUCACCACCAAGCAUCUCUAUGCCGCGCUCUCCUACAACCUCCACGUCCUGGACUUCCAGAACCCGUGACGGGGCCACCCCGGCCUGCGGGCCAGGGAAGCCAGCUACUCAGGGACCUCUCCGCCUGGAGGGUGCAGGGAUGCCUCCGCCCCCGCCGUGCCUGUGCUCCUAGACCUGUCACCACAGUGCUUGGGCACCGUCAGAUCCAGUUCCUCUCUGGCUGGGGAGUCCUGGGAGGCCCUAAGAGGGGACCGACAUCUUCAAACAUGAGGAUGGGCAUGUUGGGGAAAGGGUAAGACCAGCCUCAUGGCUCAGUGUCCCAAAGACCAAACCUCUCAUUACCACUCACCCCUUUGCCCCGGUGGUGGGUGGGUGUCACCUGUGGGGUAGAGGACUGUGGAAGGGCUCUGCGCUGUUGGGGAGCUAAGCUACUCCCCAUCUGCAGUAACCCUUCUUCACACUACUCUAACACACCCACACUCUUUGCAAUGAUACAACCCUCCUUCUGCCUUUACAUCCACAAUGUCUUAAUCUCCUGGGCUGCUUUUAAGGUUUCUGUAUUUCAAAACCUUCUUUACCUUACCUCCCCUUACUGUGGGGAGCUCAUCUGGGCCCUUCUGAAAGCUAAGACCAGGGUCUCUGCCAGCCUAGUGUCCCUCUGAAUUUAUGCAAACAGGAUGGGGAAGAUGCACCCCCCGCUAGCGCUAGGCUCAGGGCUUCCCUUUAUGUGAAAGGCUUGUUGAAGCCUUUGAUGUUGAAGGUCCCUGAGGAGGAGAGAAGGGAAUGUCCUCACCAGCACCCUCCCUGGUGACAGCAUAGAGGGUGGACAAAAGGGCAGCCCCUCAACAGUGACUCAGAAUGACUUUACUUGGGAGAUCAGACCAUGAUAUGGGGGCUAGGAGCACCCCCAAGGCCCAGUUCUCACAGAGCCUGGAUAGCUCAUGGAAGAGAGGACAUACCCCUGCACCAGAAAGGGGGUGGCCCAAGCCACAAAGUCCAGAAGAGCCUCACCCACCCGCCAUGCUGCCGGAAGGGCAGGCUCAGGGAUGCUCUGCUACUGGGUCUUACAGUCCCCGUCACUGCUGUGGGCCGUCUUCACUUUCUUUAGCUCCUUCUGAAGCUCUGACUCAGCCGCCAGGACCUCCUUUGGCUUCUGGUACUGUGGAUGGAACCAGGAAGAGCACAUCAUUCAGCCACAUCUCCCCUCCCUACAUACACACUCCGGGCCUCCUCUGAUCCCAUUAUUUGAAAAUGAGGAAACUGAUGCCUGCAAGGCUGAAUGAUUUGCUCAAGGUCACAUGACUGGAUAGGAGCCUUCCACCAGAAUCCCAGGCCUGUGAUUUCCAUCCCUCCAUGUCACCCUCUGUCUUCUUCCAGCUGUGACUUCUAAGAUCAGCUGAGCCCCCCCACCCUGAAGGAGAGGUGCCUGUUCUCUAGCAAGCACAGGCCAGGUGUUGGGGCUGGAACCGGGGACUCCUAUGGGAUGGGAAAUGGCAGGGAAAGGAGGAGUGUCUCCCUGAUUCAGUGGCCAAGAAGUCUGGGUAAAUCUUACAGAGAUGAUCAGGGUGCAGUUGGCAUGAGCAAAGCUCAGCGAGGACUCAUCCAGAGGUAGCUGGUAUCUGUCUAGGUCAGGAAUGGAGAACUUCUUGUAGUACCUGUGGGAACACCAAGAGGUCAUCGGCACAUCCAGCAAAGUGACCCCCAGCAACUGGGCAGCAGGCCCUCUGGUGCCAACUUUCUACACUGUUCUUCCACACUUUCCACAGAGCCAAAGAGGAAGAAGGGAAGCCAGUUAGAACAUCAGUAUGAAUGAAAGGCGUUUUGGCGAAGCCAGCAGUGGAAGGGCAGGACCCGUCAUGGUUCCUUGAUUAGACCAGGGAUUAGAGUGACUCCUGGCCUCCGCUCUACCCCAAGAACACGGGAACAUGUAUGCUAACAAGGGACAGAAUAAAUCUGGCUAGGGCUGUUCCCCAAAGCUGGGGACCAAGAGUUGCCAUUUACAUGCAACUUUCUCUGAAGGCCCCAGCUACUUUUUCCCUCUCUUGGGGUCUUUCAAGGCCCUGUGGGCCUGACUCCUCUUGUAGGCCAGAGAGAAGUACAUCCACAAAGAGAAAUCUAGGAGGACAAACCACAUGACUCAUCUCAGAAGCUGGAUCUCUGGACUACUUUGCUGGCCCUGAAACGUCCCCCCUCCAUUUUCACACACAAUCCCUAUCAUCUGUAAGGGCCAGUCCAGAGAUUAAUGAUCCUUUUUAGUAAAAACAAACCCAAAAAACCCAGAGAGCAAUACCUAGCCCAGAUGUAUACAACUGGACUUCAUUCUACAGGAAAUCUGACCUUUACCGAAGCGGGAGGUAACGGGUCUCGCCUGGCUUCAUGGCCAGCUGUCCGUGGAGUCGGGACCCAGCUCCUUGCUCCCGGUCAGGUGCUUGUCACCAAGAGCGCCUCCUCUAGCAGCAGGCCUGUGUGGCGUCUAACCUGGUGCAAGUGGAGCCCGGGGCCUCAGCCAGUGGCCAGCAGACCUGCUCCCCAGGCCUGGCAUCCCCCCUGCCGCUGUGGGGCUGUGGGCUGGGAAGGGAAAUGCUGCGGGCAGGUACACACAAAUUCCAGUCAGGGGCCUGGAGCGGACGGGGCUUUGACUACUUCAGAGGGGCCUGGGCCUGGUGGUGACAGCUACUCCGGGUCCACUUCAAAAGCCCCGCUGCCCCAGGGACUCAGAGUUGACAUCAAUGCAGCACUUCUGCCCUGCUCUCCUAUCCAAAUCCCCGGGAGUUCAGCGGAGGCGCUCAGGGCCCCUCUCCUCCCAGGUUCUCCGCUCCCCGCCAAGGUGCUGGGACCCACAGCAGGAGAAGAAUGUUUACUUAAAGGCUGACAGUUCAAAAGGAGUGGGGGCUGGGGGAUCCUAAUGGCACCACAAGCUUGCUUUAUUUCCCAAAGCUCUGCCCCAGGGAAAGGCGAUCCAUCUGCCUGCAAAACCGGGGUGGAAUGCGGCCUCAUCCUCCUCCUAGCUGGCCAGGCUGAGGGCUCUUCCUGGGGCCCUUGGGCUGGCCAGCAAAGGUGGCAGACACUGAUAAUAGGGGGGAGUCAAAGGUUAAACAGCAGAGAUUAGAUGAACACAAAGGCUUGUUAGGAAGUGUUAACAUCUUCCCUGCAAAUAUACACAAGCAGCAGAACUGGGAGAGAAGCAGCCCGGGCACGCGCGCAGCCUAGCCGACGCAGCGGGGCCUGCGUGAGCCUCACCGUGCAGAGCGUGGGGCCAUCGUUUCUGCCUGCCUGGCUUGUGCUCCACGUGGGACAGGGACACGCCUGGGUACCCUCAGAGGGGUGCCGGCUGGGGCACUGGGACUGAAAAGAGAAACCCAGGGGGCUUGGCCUCCGCCCACACCUGUCACUAGGAGGCGAGGGGGAUGGAGGCAGAGUGAGUGUGGAUGCUCUUUGUCUUGAGUCUGUUCUAAUGGAUUUAGUUUACUGGCUGAGGUUACACAACUUUGAUGGGCAGUGUUCAAGGGAGUCUGGGACAUCUGCUUCCCCUCCUCAGGGGUGCAGCCCAGCCCCUUCUCACCUCCGUCCCCUGGCCUUGGGGUUCACCCUGCGAGGAACCACACUUGACUUUCUCACUGGCACCUGGACUAGAGAGGGACACACUGUGCUUCUGGAAAAGAACACUCAGCCUCAGGCAACCCUGAGGGGGCAGCAAACACGUCUUUAGGCAUCAACUGUGUCCUAGGCCUUGAGCUAUGAGCUGGGGAUUUAAAGAUGAAGAAGAAAGAAGGCCCUAUCUCUGCCUGAGGAGAGCUUGUGUUUCUGCUGAAAGCUAGGCCCUCAUAGUGCAGCGGUUCCUGGGCUUUUGGCAGACACGUGACACUCCCCUGUUCCCAUCUCCUACUACUGUUCUCAGCCUCAGUCACACAAUGAAAGGGGAUGUUUGUUAAUGCUUAGUGGGGCCAGGCACUGCUCCACACACAUCGAAUCCUCAAAGCAACCCCCUCAGGCUGGUUGCUUUUAUUAUCCUCUUUCACAAAAGAGAAAACGGAGAUACAGAUAGGUAUCUUGCUGGAGUCACAAAACUGGUCACUGGAGAAGCCCUUAUUACAAGUAGUAAUACCCCAAAUCUCCUGACCCUCCAUCUCUCCACACACACUCCUCCAAGUAACAGACCCCUGGUCUAGGUUCCCUGCUGUCCAAGGACGGAGCAGAUAUGGGGGGAUCUCCCUUAGGAUCCAAUGACCCUGCAGGUCCUCCAGGUACUCUAACACAGUGGCUUUCCUUUCUGAAGGUCAGAAGUUUUCGAAAGACAUGGGGAAGCAAAGGCUCUCAGGACAACUCUGGUCCUGGCCUGUGACCCUGGGCAGGCCACUUCACUUCUGGGCCCCGGUUUCUUCCUCCAGAUGCCUUCCUCCAAUAAAGGAGCUGAAUGAACUUUAGUCACCGAACUAGAUGAACGAGAUGAACUUUAAGUCACUGUCAAAGGGACCAGAAGAGGCCAACUCUGUACCUCCCCCCAAACUGUGCUGAAAGGAUGGCUCCUUCACUUGGGCUACUUCAGAAAUGACCCACAGUCAUACACAGAAAUGACCCCACUGCUCUCUGCUGUAUCCUCUUCCCAAUUUCCAGUUGUUUCCCAACCUAUUCUUUGCAGUGAACUGAGAAAGAACACAAGAGGCCAGGCCUCUGGAGACAGACUCGGAGGAGAGGCUGAAAAGCAGAAGCAGGGCCAUUGUGGAGAGUUACACGGGCCGUGCCCCACACACAGCUCCGGGGCGCCCUGCACACCCGCACACGGGUUUGGCAAGACUGGGCCUGAGGAGCCUCUAGCCAGUCCCGCCCUUAGAAAAGCAGUAGGCAAACCUUCCUUCUUUCUUAAACAUCACAGCUCCAGGCAAGCCGAUCAUCCCUGCCUACAGCAGCCCUUCCUGGACUCACAAUGCACAUUCACCAAAGAGAAACUUGUUUAAUCCAGUUCCCUAAAUUUAUUUGACCACGGAAUCCUUUUUUUCUAGUGAUGCCUAUUAACACCUCCCAGUGUUAAUGUUACCAGUGUCUAAUCAGCCAAGUUCUAAUUUCCAAAGAAUUGCUGAAGACAUGCUUCAGGCCAGCCAUUGUCCCGGACGUUUGUAUACAUAUGAUUUCAUCAAAUUGCCCAAACAGUCUGUGAGGUGGGUAUGAGUAUUCUCCUGUGUGAGGAAGCCUUGCCCAAAAUACUACAGUUAGUACGUGGCAGAGGUCAGAUUUAAGCCAACCCCUUCCCACUCCAGUGCCCUUGUCCAUUCCACUUAAUGGCUGCCAGCUUCUAGUCUGAGGCUAAGAAUCUUCUUUCUGCACACUCUUAUCAGGAACAGGCAGUACCACACUGGGAUCCUGGAAAAGCACUUUCUUCCCUGAUUCAUCCCCUCACUAAUACAUGAGGCCAAGGACAUGAUACAUUGGAAUCAAUCCUUUCCAGAAAAGUGACCAACCCAGUCCUUCAGGGACAAGGCAGGUAUGGACAAGGAACAUUGGCUUUUACUAGUAACCACAUUCCAGAAUAUUAGAACUCAGGCAGGCACAGAACUAGCAGGUAAUGGAAGAAGGCAAAUCAGAGAUGCCAUGGUGUGGAUACUGCAGAUGUCCGGGCAGCUAGACUGUCGCUAACUUUCCCUUUGCAAGUCAGCUCAUCACACUGACUUUACAGACACAUUUAUAUAAUCAUUACGAUAUAACACAAGAAUGAAAAUAUGUACCCUGCCCAACACUGGAUGGUGUGACGAUUUUUUUUUUCAAGAUUUUAUUUGACAGAGAGACCGCGAGAGAGGGAACACAAGCAGGGGGAGUGGGAGAGGGAGAAGCAGGCUUCCCGCUGAGCAGGGAGCCUGAUGCGGGGCUCGAUCCCAGGACCCUGGGAUCAUGACCUGAGCCGAAGGCAGACGCUAAUGACUGAGCCACCCAGGCGCCCCAGAAAACAGAUUUUUAACGUACCCUGAAAAAAAAACAGUAUCCUGCUCAAAAGAAUAACCACUGAGUUGUUUAAUUAGUGGUAGUAAAGGUAUAAGACACAUUACUGCCCCUGGUAGGAGAUGAAAAUGCCACUAGGCUCAAGAAAGAGCCGGUUAAAGGUUUAGUGGCCUUUUUCUCCUACCCCUGGGCAGAGGGACCCGAGGAAGGCUGGGCUGAGCCAGGCAGGGCCACUGGACCAGAGGCUCAGUGCGGGCUCCGAAGCGGGCACUCACAUACUCCUCUCCCCUCUGUGGGGAUCCAGCCCCGGCCCUGUCCCGUCUAGGGGCAUUACUUCCAUCCCACCUGGCCUCACCCAUCAGUUCAAAAAUGUCUCCAGCUGCCUCGAGCGCAGGAGUGGGCUUCUAGCCAUGUUGCUCCUGGCCAACAGCGCCGCCUACAGCUGGGUAUGUGCAGCAGAUGGGACCCAGAGGAUCUGCCCGCAGAUGAAUUUUUUGGUGAGCUAGCUGGCCUCUCUCCUCUCACUCCCCAGUAAUCACAUUUCUGCCUGAUAUCUGUAUUCGACAGUGACCUCUGGGGGACAAAAGGGAGGCAGCAGCCAGCUCUACAAACUGCUAGGCUGCAGAUUCAAGUGCUAUCAGAAGCACUUUUGUUCCCAGUUUGGACCCAGGGCCUCUUACGCCAGGGAAUGCUUGCUGAAGCACAGAAUUUGUUUUCCUAAAGGCAAUUUCUCUGUUGUCUGAAAUUGCUAAAUUCCACUUUAGGCGCUGACUCCCAUUAAUGAUGAGAACAAUAACAGGAAUAAACUGCCUUUUAUCUGAGGGCUUCAAAGUGCUUUAUAAACGCAAACCCUUAUUAUUAUGACUUUAUAGACAAGGCCCACUGCAGGGGCUGCUGGCUACAUGAAGAGCAAUAAUCUUGAAAUUAAUUCAUUCAUCUCCACCCCUUCCCCAUCCCCUUAACCCUGCCGAAGUGAGAGAGUAUGGGGGUCAUAAGCAGAGGGCAGAACCCAAGGCUGCGCCGGGGGAGCCUGGGAGCUGUGCAGCUUUCCUGUGGGCCUCGCGGACCUGAGGGAGCUGGGAGGGGAGGCGGCACCACACCCCCCAAGGAGCCGGACAAGGAGCUGGGUCCUCCUGACUGCAUGAAACGGAUGGAUGGCGGCACCUCUGGCCCAAGCUCAGCACCCACAAGGCAUGUUGGGUGGCUCCAGUGUGUGGACCAGUCACUCAUAAAACCUUCCAUCUUAAUACCUCAACUGUAUUUCAUGGGAGUUGGUCCUAUACUGCAAUUCCUCUGGCCCAGGUCAAGACCAGCUCAUUAACACGGUUCUCCUGUGAUCAGUCAGAGCUCUGGAAAUCUAAAUGCAUUUCCAAGAUGGUCAGCCCAGAAACAGCCCUGCCUGGACCACAUCUCCUCCUUGGCCACCUUCUGUUCCCUCUCCCCUUGCCUGCCCCCAGCAGAACAGUAGGAGAGAAAUAAAGGGAAGUUAGGUGCCCCUUCUGAAACAGAACGCAAGAGACUUCCAGGAGGCCAAAGUACCUGCCUAUUGCCCGUCAGCCCCGGGCGGGAUAAGGUUGGCUAACCCCAGACCAGUACUUUAAGUCCUCUAACUGCCACCUCAGCUGGGUGUGCCCUCUAGGCCACGGCUCCCUGACAGCCCCGACAGUGAUGUCACCAGGCCAAGUUCACCAUGGACUGGAUCCAGCCAGGGGGUCAAGGUAAUAAUCAAGGAACCACCUACGAUCACAAGUUAAUGGCCAGGUGAUUCCUCGUCCCCUCAUUCAACAAAUAUUUGUUGAACCCCAGUAUGUGCCAGUUACCGGACCAGACAUUCCUUGUUCCAAUUUCCCGCCCUGAGGGAGCUGAUUACAUUAUUCAAGCUGGUCCUGCGGAGAGGAAGCCCUCCCACAGGCCGGCAGGUGCCCAUCAUGCCACUUACUUUUUGUUGGUUGUUCGGACAACGAUGCAGCGCUCCUUCUGGUCCACACAGACACUGUAGACAUCCUUAGGGUAGGGGAGGUUUCGAAUCCGCCACUGGAAGCUCAUCUUGGUGUCCUUGCGCAUGAAGAUGGGCUGCAGAAGGCAAAUCCAACUUAGGACCACUCUUGGUGAGGGCCAGCAAGGGAUGGCUUCCUGCUCUGCAAAGCUCUACCCGGGGCCCACAACAGGAGACCCUCAGCUCUUCCCACAGCUCCCCCCUGACAAUGCUGUUGCUGUGACAUUCCAGGCCUGGAGCCCUUGUCCUGGGAUGACCAAGCCAAGCAUUCAUUCAUUCAUUCAUUCAUUCAUUCAAGGAUGACCAUACCCAAGUAUAGGUAUUCAUUCAGGCAAACACUUCCAGAACUCUGUGCCCAGGUGGGCAUGGGAGACAAGGUGGUGAAUAAGACAUGGUGUCUGCCCUCCAGGCCCACUCCCACCACCCCCUCCUCGACACCUAACAGAUAGACAUACAUUGGCAUUGUCUUCCUUGAUGAAUUCAGACCCCAGGCUCCCUGCUCCUGGGAGUGCUGGCUCUCCCACCUCAAUCUGCCAUUGGCCCAAGGCUCCCAAGGCACUUUUCACUCGCCACUUUCUCACUGGGGAGAGAAGGAAGCAACGGGAUUACUGGGAAGGAAGGGACUCUGCUCUUCCUGCUGAAUCACAUUAGAUGAUGGGAAGGGGAGAGAAGUGGGCGGGGCAUGGCCUUUACACCAGCUCUGUCCAUGUGAGCAGGACCUCCCAGCUGCCGAAAGCCCAACGCCCAGCAGAGCACUCCGAUACUGGAUAACCUGGAAAGCCCGUAUCACGGGUACCCAAACCAAAGGGAUUGAACAAAGCUCUGAAAGGAAUCGAGUGGAGUUAAGAAUCCUCCAGGUGUGAUUUCAAGCAAGGGAGAGAUGUGCUGGUUAGGAAAAGGGGAGCUACUGGUAACGGGGAACAUUUGGAUCCCAACAGGUAUGAACUGAGAUGCAUUUUUUUCUGUCUACAAAUGUGUAAGGGAAAAAUAAAUUAAGAAGAUGAAAGCUGACAGGCAGAUUUGUCUCAUGAUUUGUAAAGUCCAAAUACAGAAAUUCACUCAUUUCAGGUAUACCUGGCUUAGAACAGCCCCAGAAUUGUAUUUAAACAAAAUGUUAGGCACAUACCAGAUUUUAAAUGCAUUAUUUAUAGAAGAUCUCAUGUGAGUAUUUUUUGUAGAGUAGGAUCAUUCUUUUAAAAUGCAAACAAUUGUCUCUAUUUUACCUUGGUUUACAACCCACAUGUUUACGGAAGUUUUUUUUCCCCCCAAGUAAGGUGCAUUCGGUAUGGCAAUUGUAAGUGAAAAAACCAGUUCAGUGGACAUUAUCUGAGGACCCCUGCCAGGAUUCUGGGAACCCCAGUCAUCCAUGUCCCCCAUCACAGCAGGGGAUCCUUCCCUGCCCCCCACCCCCAGCUGUAACCCCAGGGCUUCUCUCUCUCCCUGCAGCAUCCGCGUCCUCUAGGAGGGCAGCCUAAGUGCCACCAAAGGCCAGCAGCCUUCCUGAAGCCCUUGUAAGCAGCUACAAGGUCAGAAAGUGCCUGGUGCGCCGAGGCUGCUCCCGGCCCCUCCUCUUUCUGGGCUGGGGGGUGAGACCUGGAGCCGGAGUCUCAGGAUGGGUUUCUUCGAGACCUUUGGAGCUGCUGUGCCAAACCCAAACACCCUCCCUGCUCCAAGUAAGGCACGCAAGCUGAACACAAAAGUGUGCUGUAAAAUUAGAAUUUUCCCUUGAAUAUGUGCUUUUAUAAGGUCUGCUGCAUUCUGCAGUGUGAUUUUAUUAUGUCUUAGGGCCAAAAAUUCUCCCUAGAAACACAUUUCCAAGUUUAUAAUGAAAAUUAAUAAGGAAGAGUAAAAACUUGGAAAUAUGCUUUACAGGCAACUUUUUUUUCACAAAUACUUCUACUCUCUUAAGUGAAUGGACUGUGACUGGGAGUAUAUCCAAAUCUAUUCGUGUAAUACCUCGCUUAACUGGAGGCCAGCCUUCUGGCUCUUUCACCACCCUUUUUUAAAAAAAAAAAAAAAACACCUUGGGAUUAAAUUCUUUGCUAGAAUGUAGAAGAAAGUCUCCCUGGGAUGCCUGGGUGGCUCAGUCAGUUAAGCGUCUGCCUUCAGCUCAGGUCAUGAUCCCAGUGUCCUGGGAUCGAGUCCCACAUCGGCCUCCUUGCUCAGCAAGGGGCCUGCUUCUCCCUCUGCCUGCCUCUGUCUCUCUGAUAAAUAAAUUAAAAAAUCUUAAAAAAUAUAUAUAUAUAUUUUUAAAAAGUAUAUUUAAAAAAAAAGUCUCCCUACUCAUUCCAUUAUAAGAUCCAAUAAACGGUUUUGGUGAAGUCCUUGUUAUUUUCCCCAUGUAUAUGGGCAUGAAUGCACACGUGCAAAUACUCACUUUGUCUUGUCUUUCUUGUCCUGUCUUUGUUCCUAACUCAAGGACAGUUCCUGCAGCAACAGAGGGCUGUUUCCACCUGCUGUCACUCUGAUUUGAUUAUAUGUUAAACCCAAACUGGUGUGUGGAGGGUAGCUCCCUGGGACGCUGUCGCAUCCUCGAGGCUGAGCCAGGGCCAGUCCUUGGAAAGGAGCCUCUCAAUGACCCUAAGGGGUCUGAUGGGGAGUAUGUGAAGGAGACAGUGCCUGGGGGCUUCUUCCUGAGUCAGCGGGAAGCAGGCUGAUGUCCUUGACUGCUGAAAGGAAGCCCCAUCUUUCAGGUGGGCUGGAAAGUGGAGGUCCUACAGGCUCUUUCCCCAAAGCUCCAAGCCAUGGCCUGCUUCCAGUGUGGAUAAUUACAUUCCCCUUUCCUAAAUACUCCCUGCAGCUUAAACUGGAUGCAGGAUUCUUCUUUUCUGCCCUAAAACACUGCAACAUUGCUCUGUGGCUAUUAAACAGCUGCCGCAUCCCAUCCCUGAGGAGGCGGAAGGGAAUCGAGUGGGUCAUUUAUAAAGCCGGUGAAGUGCUUGGGGAUGAAAGUGCUCAAUAUCCUCCAAAUGCAGCCUGGGGUGGUUAGGCUGGCGGUCAAAUACCAAAGCAGAUUAAGCCGGUAAUCCAAGGUAAUCCGAAUGUAACAAUGGGGGAUGGCCUGCCCUUCAGCCUCUGCGCCCCCCCCCCCCCCCCCCCCCGACAUGCUGUGUCCUUCUGGGGCUGGUUUGAUGUUCCGAUCAUUGUUAUAGGGCCCUUCAGGUUUUCCCCCUAUGACUACAUACAGCACUCAUUGUGCGGGGUGGGAACGAAUAGCAUUAGACUGUUGAAAAAAAAUAUGACACCACUAUGCUUAUUAACACUGACUGGAAGAACUCCAUGCUACACAGAUGCACCAGUGGCAAAUUACUUUCUGGGUUUCUCUAACAGAAAACCAGUUUAGCCAAUUAUCAAAUUUGUA